ACAAGUUGAACUAUACUUUGAAAUCUUUAUGGGAUUGGGGAAAGUCCAAGUUUGCCCACCCCACUAAAGAAACUAUCAAGCUUAGUUAAUUCCGUAAAAGAUUGUAGGACAAUAAUUAUCAAAAUAAGAAAUACAAGUUGUUGGGGGAGAUACAGGAUAAAAUUGAUAACUUUCUUGAAGAAACUUGGUGGGCUCAAAGGGCUAAAACCCACUGGCUGAGAGAGG
rnacentral:lncRNA from 1 species